rnacentral:rRNA from 1 species
GUAGUCAUAUGCUUGUCUCAAAGAUUAAGCCAUGCAUGUCUAAGUAUAAGCAAUUAUACAGCGAAACUGCGAAUGGCUCAUUAUAUAAGUUAUCGUUUAUUUGAUAGUACCUUACUACCUGGAUAACCGGGGUAAUUCUAGAGCUAAUACAUGCUAAAAAUCCCGACUCCGGAAGGGAUGUAUUUAUUAGAUUAAAAACCAAUGCCCUCCGGGGCCCACUGGUGAUUCAUGAUAACUCCUCGAAUCGCAUGGCCUUGUGCCGGCGAUGGUUCAUUCAAAUUUCUUCCCUAUCAACUUUCGAUGUUUGGGUAUUGGCCAAACAUGGUUGCAACGGGUAACGGGGAAUG